rnacentral:rRNA from 1 species
UAGAGGGGGGACGAACAGUUGGAAACGACUGCUAAUACCGCAUACGAUCUAAUCUCGGCAUCGAGGAUAGAUGAAAGGUGGCCUCUACAUGUAAGCUAUCACUGAAGGAGGGGAUUGCGUCUGAUUAGCUAGUUGGAGGGGUAACGGCCCACCAAGGCGAUGAUCAGUAGCCGGUCUGAGAGGAUGAACGGCCACAUUGGGACUGAGACACGGCCCAG